rnacentral:rRNA from 1 species
GACGGAGGGGGCUAGCGUUGUUCGGAAUGACUGGGCGUAAAGGGCGCGUAGGCGGUUUUUUAAGUGAGGCGUGAAAGCCCUGGGCUUAACCCAGGAGGUGCGUUUCAGACUGGAAAGCUUGAGUGCGAGAGAGGAAAGCGGAAUUCCUAGUGCAGAGGUGAAAUUCGUAGAUAUUAGGAAGAACACCCGUGGCGAAGGCGGCUUUCUGGCUCGUAACUGACGCUGAGGCGCGAAAGCGUGGGGAGCAAACAGG